UCAGCUUGUACCUGGCAGCGGGUAAGAGACACAUGCAAGAGAUAUUGUCUGACACGUGUAAAUUAUGGGCUGCAAAAGGAGUUUGCCAAGAUCAAGAUGUGACCUCCUGAUGAUUCGUCAAGUAAUCAGCACUUGGUUGUUAUUAAGCAGACCUCUUCAGAGAGAAGGUUUUCAAAUGAAUAGACAAUGGACAAUACACAUAACCGGGCAUAGUGAUUGCAUUGAGGACAGUUCCUUUGAGAAGAUUCCUUGUCACAUGAGUAUCAGUUCUCUUAACCAAUUGUAUUCAGGAGAGUUUAUAUGCUGUGAAACUUUAUCUGCUCACCUUGGACUUCUUGCCUAUCAGACAGGUCAUGCAGGAGCUCUUUUAUGACAAAAACUUUUAGGUUUGUUGAAAUGCAUGACUGAAAGGAUUUGGGGCUGGAAGUCAGGUUUCUGGGAUAAAACAGAAGUCAGAGGCUGCCCACUCUUCACAGGCUGCUGAGAGGAGAUAGCUAAUGAACCCAAUAAUGGGACAGGGCUGAAAACCUUGGAUUCUUUCCCCGGUUCUGGCAAAUCGAGACUGCACAUAGUUGAUAGCUCUCAAGCAUCUACUGGUGAAAUCCCUGGGGAAAAAUGUUCUUCAUUCUCCUGCAGAGAAUAAGACUAAUCUAAAGAGCUACAAAAGUUGUAAUUUCUGGAGGAAAACAACAUUUUCUAGCUACUCUAAGAGUUCCUGCAAGUUUACUAGGAAUGGCUGGAGGUGGUAUGAAGAGGAGCAAUGUUGGGACUAAGGCAUCAGCAGACGGUCAACUGUGGUGGAAAGUGAUCCCUUAGAUGAAUUCACUGGGAACUGCACGUGGAUACCUUCUGGGAAAUACUGGUUGGAGUCAUCAAGUCAGUUAUAAUGUUGACUAUUUUCCCCAAAAUGCAUGUCCUACUCUCCUAAAUUCCUACUCACAUUACAGAGGGUUAAACUAGGAUUACACAUGUAGCCGCAUGUCACCAGUACCCUGACCUGCCACUGGAGACACGGAGGGAAGAAGAUCCUACUCCUGUUCUCAUGGAGCUCACCGUCUAAUGAGCAACUAAUAACCAUGUUCCAAUUGAAUGUUAAAAUGAUAGUUUAUGAGUGAUAAAUUAGAUGAUUGGAUGCUAAAAUAGUGAUCAGCUGUUGGGGGCACACUGCCAUGCUCCCACCAACAUCCCAUCUCUUUCUUCUCUUUGUCCUCUGCUCAUUUGUAUGUCACUUUGCAGGGCUUGGAUCGGCUUCUCUCUUGCUACUGCGACUGUCACUAGGCCAAGUUACCACUUUUGGGGCUCUUUCACUCUGGUUCUGUAUUUAUUCUUCAGACUGAACUUAUCUUUCAUGGACCCUCUCUUCACUGCCACCCAUGGCAGGUCUUGGGCUACCCAGCCUGGUCUAGAGCGCAGCCACCCAAAGUGUGGUCUGUGGGUCUACUUGGUACUCGUCUGCAAUGUGAGAAGUAUGAAAAUGAGAGUAAGCACUUAGUAAGUAAACUUUUAAUAGCAACCUUACAGAGUAAUUUUAUAUUCCAAUGAUACUAAUCUAAUUCAAAGUAUUAAUUAAAUAUUAAUCUAAUGUAAUCUAGUAAUUAUAUAAAUUGAGCUUUUUAUUUUGUAUUUCUUUUCAUCUCUCUCUCUCUCUCUCUCUUUUUUGUAAUUUAUUUGGAAUACAUUUCACAAAUUUUGGUCUUCUGAAUAUUGAGGAAAAACAAAAUUGCCCUUUAUACAAGUGGUUUGAGAAGAACUGGUCUGGAGGCCCCAUCAGGUUGCUAGACCCCAAUGAUCUCAUCCUUUGUCUUUCAUCUUACCUCUCUUACUCAUUCUGAGCACAGAAUGACCCAAACCGCUCCUCAGAGAGGCUGGUCCAACUGAUCACACUUAAUAAACAGAGAGUGUUCUAGGCUAGCUCUGCUCGG
rnacentral:lncRNA from 12 species